UGACUGUUAUUGUCUAUCUAAUCCACACCAUCCAGAAAGUGAAGAAUGCUGUUACUGGGGCCACCUCGCGUUCUGAAAUAACUGCUGGCCAGCAAAGUCAAUUGACAAAUGAAGAUGUUUUGGUUUAUUCUGAACCAAAAUUUACUAAGAGGAAGACCGAGCUAAAAGUGAAGAGAGGUGCGAAGGCAGCCGAGGGACAAAGUAUCUAUGCUGAUGUUCGGACUCGGGGUUAUGAAUAGAAGC